rnacentral:rRNA from 1 species
UAGGGAAUCUUCGGCAAUGGACGAAAGUCUGACCGAGCAACGCCGCGUGAGUGAAGAAGGUUUUCGGAUCGUAAAACUCUGUUGUUAGAGAAGAACGUUGCAUAGAGUGGAAAAUUAUGCAAGUGACGGUAUCUAACCAGAAAGGGACGGCUAACUACGUGCCAGCAGCCGCGGUAAUACGUAGGUCCCGAGCGUUGUCCGGAUUUAUUGGGCGUAAAGCGAGCGCAGGUGGUUUAAUAAGUCUGAUGUAAAAAGGCAGUGGCUCAACCAUUGUGUGCAUUGGAAACUGUUAGACUUGAGUGCAGUAGAGGAGAGUGGAAUUCCAUGUGUAGCGGUGAAAUGCGUAGAUAUAUGGAGGAACACCGGUGGCGAAAGCGGCUCUCUGGACUGUCACUGACACUGAGGCUCGAAAGCGUGGGUAGCAAACAGGAUUAGAUACCCUGGUAGUCCACGCCGU